rnacentral:lncRNA from 1 species
GGAGACCUGGAAACUCCCCAGGCCUGGCCACCAGGUGGGGCUCUGGGGAAGGCAGCCUUCCCGCAUACUCCUUCUGGGCACUGGAAAAUUCUAGAAUCUUUCCCAGGCCCCAGGGCGGCUGCCUCCUGGCCUGACCUCGGUGACACAUCUCACCUGCCUUCUGCCCGGUUGGAGGGCUGCUUGUGGCCAGACCAGAGCCAGAGCUGCUUCCUGCAACCACACCUGCGGGCUGCGUGUGACUCAGAGCCGGCCCCAGGGGAGGCGUGCCCCAGUCCCCAGGCAAGAUCCCAGGGCCUGAACCCCUUUCAUCCCCGUGGGAGUCAGACCUGCAGCUGUGAGGCUGUGGGGGCACGUCCAUGGCUCCCGCGCGCCCGCAGCCUUGGGCAGAGCCCCUCCGUGGGUCCCCCUGUGAGUGCACUGGGGAGGCCCCACUAUCUCCCUGGUACCUCAUGUCCUGGUGGGGACAGGGCUGGGCACCUUCCCACACCCCAGGAGAGGAGCCAUUGCCCAUCACUGGGGGGGCAGGGGGGCUUGACAAAAAUAACCUUCAGAAUGACUCUUAAAGUUUGGUUUGGUUACGAGGCCACAAAAACCAUGAUUUCAGAAACAUUCUCAUUGGACGAUGCUUUUUUAAUUGAAGAUUUUAUUGAGUUUAUGAUGCAAUCACAUGCAGUCAUGGGAACCGUACAGAGGGGUCUCCUGCAAUCCGCCCAGUUUUCACAUUUCAUGAAACCACAGGACAGCAGCACGAGCAGGGUAUGGACAGUGAGGAGGUGCCGUGAUCUCACCCAGAUUUCUUCAGUCUCAUUUGUACCCUGUGUGUCUGUAUGUGUGUGCUGUGUAAGUGUGUAUAUGUGUGUAUGUGUGUGGUUGUGUGUGUAUAUGUGUGCGGUGUGUGUGUCUGUGUGGUGUGUGUAUAUGUGCAUUGUGUGUACAAGUGUAUACGUGUGUGGUGUGUGUGUAAAUGUUUAUGUGUACGUGGUAUGGUGUGUGUUGUAUGUGGGUGUGGUAUGA